rnacentral:misc_RNA from 1 species
UGAGGCUCAAUGUUUAGGACCACUGGGUAAUGAGGAUGGGAAUAAUCUUGAAAUGAUAGUAACUGGUUGAUUUGCCAGAUUUCUGCAGUCCUUUCCUAGGGACCCAACAAGACCGGUUUGUGCAUGUUUUGCAUUUAGGGCUGGAACCUGGGUGAGAUGAAGAAAGAAUCUGAUCCAUGGACCAGCCAAGGCAAGAAUGUGCAAACGUUGAUUGGCAGCGAAUGAUUGCUUACUGGAUAACCAAAAUGAAGAGGAAGUUACUUAAAAAAAAAAAAAAAA